rnacentral:rRNA from 1 species
ACGGGAGGCAGCAGUGGGGAAUAUUGCACAAUGGGGGAAACCCUGAUGCAGCGACGCCGCGUGAGUGAAGAAGUAUUUCGGUAUGUAAAGCUCUAUCAGCAGGAAAGAAAAUGACGGUACCUGACUAAGAAGCCCCGGCUAACUACGUGCCAGCAGCCGCGGUAAUACGUAGGGGGCAAGCGUUAUCCGGAUUUACUGGGUGUAAAGGGAGCGCAGACGGUAAGGCAAGUCUGAAGUGAAAUGCCAGGGCUCAAACCUGGAACUGCUUUGGAAACUGUCAUACUAGAAUGCAGGAGAGGUGAGUGGAAUUCCUAGUGUAGCGGUGAAAUGCGUAGAUAUUAGGAGGAACACCAGUGGCGAAGGCGGCUUACUGGACUGUAACUGACGUUGAGGCUCGAAAGCGUGGGGAGCAAACAGGAUUAGAUACCCUGGUA